rnacentral:rRNA from 1 species
GAUCUUUAUUUUUUUUUUAUAUAAAUUAAUAAGAUUUUAAAAAUUUAUAAUAAAAUUAAAAAUUUUACUGGGGUGGUAUUAAAAUUUAAUAAACUUUUAAAAUUUUAUACAUAAAUAUAUGAAUAUUUGAUCCAAUUUUAUUGAUUAAAAAAUUAAGUUACCUUAGGGAUAACAGCGUAAUUUUUUUUUAGAGUUCAUAUCGACAAAAAAGAUUGC